rnacentral:misc_RNA from 1 species
UUUUCGGUGCAAGGGACCGCACAAAAAGAGAGAUUGUCUUAAGAGGGCAGUGUUCGUGGCCAAGGGUAAAGAGCCAGAAUAACCCUCUCCACCAUCGGAGCCAGUAAGCGUGGAGAGCUUGCAUUAUUGUUCACUGGGUGCCAUGAGGUUAAUUGGACUAAGUGAAGCUCCUAGCAAAGAUGGAGAGCGGGAUAAUGGCAUGGAGAAUGCCGCUGAAGAGGAGAAUGCCAAGGAUGUGUGUGGGACUCAAGAGCAGUCCAAGUUACCGAGGGAGCUACCACCCGAGGAAGAG